rnacentral:rRNA from 1 species
UUCCCGAUACUCAGGGAUAGCCUUCCGGAAAAGGGGAGAUUUAAUACCUGAUGGUGUCAAAUUCCGCAUGUUAUUUGAACUAAAGAUUCAUCGGGUAACGGAUGGGAUGCGUGACAUUAGAUAGUAGGCGGGUAACGGCCCACCUAGUCUACGAUGUCUAGGGGUUCUGAGAGGAAGGUCCCCCACACUGGAACUGAGACACGGUCCAGACUCCUACGGGAGGCAGCAGUGAGGAAUAUUGGUCAAUGGUCGGAAGACUGAACCAGCCAAGUAGCGUGAAGGAUGAAGGUUCUAUGGAUUGUAAACUUCUUUUAUACGGGAAUAAAACCUCCCACGUGUGGGAGCUUGUAUGUACCGUAUGAAUAAGCAUCGGCUAACUCCGUG